AGCGGCAGGCCUAAUACAUGCAAGUCGGACGGGAUAGGAGAGCUUGCUUUCCUUGAGAGUGGCGCACGGGUGCGUAACACGUAUGUAACCUACCUUUAUCAGGGGGAUAGCCUCUCGAAAGAGAGAUUAAGCCCGCAUAAUAUGAAGACACAGCAUUGUGAUUUCAUCAAAUAUUUAUAGGAUAAAGAUGGGCAUGCGGAACAUUAGCUAGUUGGUAAGGUAAUGGCUUACCAAGGCUACGAUGUUUAGGGGAUCUGAGAGGAUGACCCCCCACGCUGGUACUGAGACACGGACCAGACUCCUACGGGAGGCAGCAGUAAGGAAUAUUGGUCAAUGGGCGCAAGCCUGAACCAGCCAUGCCGCGUGCAGGAAGACGGCCCUACGGGUUGUAAACUGCUNNUAUACGGGAAUAAACCUACUUACGUGUAAGUAGCUGAAUGUACUGUAAGAAUAAGGAUCGGCUAACUCCGUGCCAGCAGCCGCGGUAAUACGGANGAUCCAAGCGUUAUCCGGAUUUAUUGGGUUUAAAGGGUGCGUAGGCGG
rnacentral:rRNA from 1 species